AGCCAGACUCCUACGGGAGGCAGCAGUGGGGAAUAUUGCACAAUGGGGGAAACCCUGAUGCAGCGACGCCGCGUGAGUGAAGAAGUAUUUCGGUAUGUAAAGCUCUAUCAGCAGGGAAGAAAAUGACGGUACCUGAUUAAGAAGCCCCGGCUAACUACGUGCCAGCAGCCGCGGUAAUACGUAGGGGGCAAGCGUUAUCCGGAUUUACUGGGUGUAAAGGGAGCGUAGACGGUGAUGCAAGUCAGAAGUGAAAGCCCGGGGGUCAACUCCGGGACUGCUUUUGAAACUGUGUGACUGGAGUGCAGGAGAGGUAAGCGGAGUUCCUGGUGUAGCGGUGAAAUGCGUAGAUAUCAGGAGGAACACCAGUGGCGAAGGCGGCUUACUGGACUGUAACUGACGUUGAGGCUCGAAAGCGUGGGGAGCAAACAGGAUUAGAUACCCUCGUAGG
rnacentral:rRNA from 1 species